UGCCUUACACAUGCAAGUCGAACGGCAGCGCGGGCGGGGGUAACCUCGCCUGGCGGCGAGUGGCGAACGGGUGAGUAAUAUAUCGGAACGUACCCUGGAGUGGGGGAUAACGUAGCGAAAGUUACGCUAAUACCGCAUACGAUCCAAGGAUGAAAGCAGGGGACCGCAAGGCCUUGUGCUCCUGGAGCGGCCGAUAUCUGAUUAGCUAGUUGGCGGGGUAAAAGCCCACCAAGGCAACGAUCAGUAGCUGGUCUGAGAGGACGACCAGCCACACUGGAACUGAGACACGGUCCAGACUCCUACGGGAGGCAGCAGUGGGGAAUUUUGGACAAUGGGCGCAAGCCUGAUCCAGCAAUGCCGCGUGAGUGAAGAAGGCCUUCGGGUUGUAAAGCUC
rnacentral:rRNA from 1 species